CUGCACGCCAUCUACCUGCACGAGCUCCACCAGCAGCAGCAGCAGAGCCCGGGACCCCAGGCCGUGGGGACGUGGGGGGCCAUGGGGACAUCCAAGCCGCCAUCUGAGACCACAGGCUCGGCUGCCAGGGCCCGCUCAGC
rnacentral:lncRNA from 1 species